rnacentral:lncRNA from 1 species
UUCGCAGAGUUUGUUGUGGUUUUCGAGGAAACAGCAUCUGGAUUGCAUAAGGAUUCGAGUUUUUUGCUUUACUUGUUUAUUUAAUACCUUGGCAAGAGGGAGCCUUUACCCUGAAACCAGAUAACCGAAUUUGGGUUUAAAUCAGCCUUCCAUAAGGGCAACGCGCAGGGGGGAAAAUGAGAAAAGCCACGAAAAGCAAACAAGAGGAUGUUUAUUUUUCUCCCUUUGGGUAUUCUGAAGACCUGCCUAACCUCUUACACUUCUUGUCUCACACAGCUAAUAAACGGCAUUAGCAAAGGGCUGCGGCUACUACAAUGGCUUAACAGCCGUUCCUUCCCCCGCCCUGCCACGAUCCUGGCCCUAAUUCCUUAUAGGAUUCCCCCUUGGUCCUAUUUGCCCAGAGCUCUCUAGAGCCCCAGGUAAAACGCCGUAGCAAAUCCAAUUGAUGACAACAGUCUGAUCCCCUUUUAGGGGGAUCACUUUUCAGCUCGGUUCAAAGAAAGCAAUGUUUGGGAAGUUAGGUGAAGGGGCCGAUUUAACUACCAGUACUGCAAAAUAUUUUGUUACAGAUGCUGUGAAGUGCAC